AUUGAACGCUGGCGGCAUGCCUUACACAUGCAAGUCGAACGGCAGCACGGGAGCAAUCCUGGUGGCGAGUGGCGAACGGGUGAGUAAUAUAUCGGAACGUGCCCAGUAGUGGGGGAUAACUGCUCGAAAGAGCAGCUCAUACCGCAUACGACCUGAGGGUGAAAGGGGGGGAUCGCAAGACCUCUCGCUAUUGGAGCGGCCGAUAUCAGAUUAGCUAGUUGGUGGGGUAAAGGCCUACCAAGGCAACGAUCUGUAGUUGGUCUGAGAGGACGACCAGCCACACUGGGACUAAGACACGGCCCAGACUCCUACGGGAGGCAGCAGUGGGGAAUUUUGGACAAUGGGCGCAAGCCUGAUCCAGCAAUGCCGCGUGCAGGAAGAAGGCCUUCGGGUUGUAAAUUGCUUUUGUCAGGGAAGAAAUCCUCUAGGUUAAUACCCUUGGGGGGAUGACGGUACCUGAAGAAUAAGCACCGGCUAACUACGUGCCAGCAGCCGCCGUAAGAC
rnacentral:rRNA from 1 species